AAAUAGAUACCCGGGUAGUCCACGCUGUAAACGAUGAGUGCUAGGUGUCGGGGGGUCCAACCCUCGGUGCUGUCGCUAACGCACUAAGCACUCCGCCUGGGGAGUACGGUCGCAAGACUGAAACUCAAAGGAAUUGACGGGGGCCCGCACAAGCGGUGGAGCAUGUGGUUUAAUUCGAAGCAACGCGAAGAACCUUACCAAGUCUUGACAUCCCUUGCACGCUCUAGAGAUAGAGUUUUCCCCUUCGGGGGACAAGGUGACAGGUGGUGCAUGGUUGUCGUCAGCUCGUGUCGUGAGAUGUUGGGUUAAGUCCCGCAACGAGCGCAACCCUUGAUCUUAGUUGCCAGCAUUUAGUUGGGCACUCUAAGGUGACUGCCGGUGACAAAACCGGAGGAAGGGUGGGGAUGACGUCAAAUCAUCAUGCCCCUUAUGACUUGGGCUACACACGUGCUACAAUGGGUGAGUACAAAAGGGUUGCGAAGUCGCGAGACGGAGCUAAUCCCAUAAAAGUCACUCUCAGUUCGGAUUGCAGGCUGA
rnacentral:rRNA from 1 species